ACUCAAAUGAAUUGACGGGGGCCCGCACAAGCGGUGGAGCAUGUGGUUCAAUUCGACGCAACGCGAAGAACCUUACCAGGCCUUGACAUCCCGAUCGCGGCCUCUUGAAAGAGAGGCCUUCAGUUCGGCUGGAUCGGUGACAGGUGCUGCAUGGCUGUCGUCAGCUCGUGUCGUGAGAUGUUGGGUUAAGUCCCGCAACGAGCGCAACCCUCGCCCUUAGUUGCCAUCAUUAAGUUGGGCACUCUAAGGGGACUGCCGGUGAUAAGCCGCGAGGAAGGUGGGGAUGACGUCAAGUCCUCAUGGCCCUUACGGCCUGGGCUACACACGUGCUACAAUGGCGGUGACAGUGGGCAGCAAAGGCGCAAGCCCCAGCUAAUCUCAAAAAACCGUCUCAGUUCGGAUUGGAGUCUGCAACUCGACUCCAUGAAGUUGGAAUCGCUAGUAAUCGUGGAUCAGCACGCCACGGUGAAUACGUUCCCGGGCCUUGCACACACCGCCCGU
rnacentral:rRNA from 1 species